rnacentral:rRNA from 1 species
UGAGGAACAUGACCUUCGGCGGGGGAUAGCCGGCCCAACGGCCGGGUAAUACCGCGUACGACCACAUGGGGACAUCCCUGAGUGGUGAAAGCAGUAAUGCGCCGAUGGAGUGCCUCGCGGCCUAUCAGCUAGUUGGUGAGGUAACGGCUCACUAAGGCGACGACGGGUAGCUGGUCUGAGAGGAUGGCCAGCCACAUUGGGACUGAGACACGGCCCAGACUCCUAGGGAGG